CCCUUAGAUGUUCUGGGCGGCCCGCGCACUACAUUGGCACUCUCAAUAAGUUCCUAGAUCUAAAACUUUGGGGUAUUCUAUUAAGUGGUGUCGUGACUGGGAUUAACCCUUGCAAUUAUUGGUUACGAACGAGGAAUUCCUUGUAAUCGCGGUUUAUCAGCCCGCGUUGAAUGCGUCCCUGCCCUUUGUACACACCGCCCGUCGCUCCUACCGAUUGAGUGGUCCGGUGAGGCUUUGGGAUCUGGAUGGAAAGAGCGUUUCGCUGUUUCUGCCCGGAAAACUCAGUCGAACCUUAUCAUUUAGAGGAAGGAGAAGUCGUAACA
rnacentral:rRNA from 1 species